rnacentral:tRNA from 1 species
GGGUCGGUACCAAAGCAGUCAAAUGGGGCAGACUGUAAAUCUGCUGGCUCACGCCUUCGAAGGUGCGAAUCCUUCCCGGCCCA